rnacentral:rRNA from 1 species
UACGGGGGGAGCAAGCGUUGUUCGGAUUUACUGGGCGUAAAGGGCGCGUAGGCGGCCACCGCAAGUCAGUUGUGAAAUCUCUGGGCUUAACCCAGAACGGUCAGCUGAUACUGCCAUGACUAGAGUCCGGUAGGGGAGUGUGGAAUUCCCGGUGUAGCGGUGAAAUGCGCAGAUAUCGGGAGGAACACCAGUAGCGAAGGCGACACUCUGGGCCGGUACCUGGACGCUGAGGAGCGAAAGCGUGGGGGAGCAAACAGGGAUUAAGAAACCC